ACGAAAAUAGUUAAGUGGUAAUAACCUCCGUCUUCCAAAUGGAUAUCAUCAGUUCGAAUCUGAUUUUUCGUA